rfam:Acidobacteria bacterium RIFCSPLOWO2_02_FTLL_65_29 rifcsplowo2_02_scaffold_9443, whole genome shotgun sequence.
CAGUGGGUGCGAAUCCCACCCGGCAAUCGCUCCAGCCGGAAGUAGUCGGAGCAGUCGAGGAGGUGAACGAAUCGGCUGAAGUCUUCGACGCAACGGGUCACGAAAGGUGAUCCAGCGAGUGUGCAGGCCGUAACGCGA